AUUGAACGCUGGCGGCAGGCCUAACACAUGCAAGUCGAACGGUAACAGAAAGCAGCUUGCUGCUUUGCUGACGAGUGGCGGACGGGUGAGUAAUGUCUGGGAAACUGCCUGAUGGAGGGGGAUAACUACUGGAAACGGUAGCUAAUACCGCAUAACGUCGCAAGACCAAAGAGGGGGACCUUCGGGCCUCUUGCCAUCGGAUGUGCCCAGAUGGGAUUAGCUAGUAGGUGGGGUAACGGCUCACCUAGGCGACGAUCCCUAGCUGGUCUGAGAGGAUGACCAGCCACACUGGAACUGAGACACGGUCCAGACUCCUACGGGAGGCAGCAGUGGGGAAUAUUGCACAAUGGGCGCAAGCCUGAUGCAGCCAUGCCGCGUGUAUGAAGAAGGCCUUCGGGUUGUAAAGUACUUUCAGCGGGGAGGAAGAGAGUAAAGUUAAUACCUUUGCUCAUUGACGUUACCCGAAGAAGAAGCACCGGCUAACUCCGUG
rnacentral:rRNA from 1 species